UACGUAGGGUGCAAGCGUUAAUCGGAAUUACUGGGCGUAAAGCGUGCGCAGGCGGUUUGUUAAGACAGAUGUGAAAUCCCCGGGCUUAACCUGGGAACUGCAUUUGUGACUGGCAAGCUAGAGUAUGGCAGAGGGGGGUAGAAUUCCACGUGUAGCAGUGAAAUGCGUAGAGAUGUGGAGGAAUACCGAUGGCGAAGGCAGCCCCCUGGGCCCAAUACUGACGCUCAUGCACGAAAGCGUGGG
rnacentral:rRNA from 1 species